rnacentral:rRNA from 1 species
UCAAGCUACAAAGAGCACAAGGGGAAUGCCUUGGCACCGAGAGCCGAAGAAGGACGUGACUAACUGCGAUAAGCUGCGGGGAGCCGUAAGUAGGCUUUGAUCCGCAGAUUUCCGAAUGGAGCAAUCCGGCAAGAGGAAAGUCUUGUCAUCAUAUACUGAAUACAUAGGUAUAUGAGGGGAACCGCCUGAACUGAAACAUCUAAGUAGGGCGAGGAAGAGAAAUCAACUGAGAUUCCGUAAGUAGUGGCGAGCGAACGCGGAAGAGGCCAAACCGAGAGUAGUAAUACUUUCGGGGUUCGGACAGAAUACGGCAUUGUAAAGGUUUAGUGGAAUGGAAUGGGAAGUCCAACCGAAGAAGGUGAGAGUCCUGUACACGAAAAGCCUGAACAGCCAUCUGUAUCCAGAGUACCGCCGGACACGUGAAACCCGGUGGGAAUACGGGGGGACCAUCCUCCAAGCCUAAAUACUACUCGGUGACCGAUAGUGAAGAAGUACUGUGAAGGAAAGGUGAAAAGUACCCCUGACGGGGAGUGAAAAAGAACCUGAAACCUUGUGUUUACAAGCACCGAAAGCUCAUCAAAGAGCGAUCGGGUACCUUUUGUAGAAUGGUCCGGCGAGUGAAUGUAACCGGCGAGGUUAAGCACUUAAGGUGUGAAGCCGCAGCGAGAGCAAGUCUGAAUAGGGCGUAUGAAGUCGGUUGUAUUCGACCCGAAACCGGGUGACCUACCCAUGGUCAGGUUGAAGUAAAGGUAAAACUUUAUGGAGGACCGAACCGACUCCCGUUGAAAUGGUAGCGGAUGAACUGUGGGUAGCGGAGAAAUUCCAAUCGAACCCGGAGAUAGCUGGUUCUCUCCGAAAUAGCUUUAGGGCUAGCCUUGAAAUAGAUUACCGGAGGUAAAGCACUGAAUUGGCUAGGGGCCGAGAGGUUACUGAACCUUAUCAAACUAAGAAUGCCGGAUAAUCGUUUUUCAGGAGUCAGACAGUGGGAGAUAAGUUUCAUUGUCAAAAGGGAAACAGCCCAGACCCACAGCUAAGGUCCCCAAGUAUAGUUAAGUGGAAAAGGAUGUGGAAUUGCACAGACAACCAGGAUGUUGGCUUAGAAGCAGCCACUCAUUAAAAGAGUGCGUAAUAGCUCACUGGUCGAGUGACUCUGCGCCGAAAAUUUAACGGGGCUAAACUAUACACCGAAGCUUGGGAUACAUCUAAUGUAUGGUAGGAGAGCGUUCUGUAUGGGGUGAAGUCGUAGCGAAAGCGGCGGUGGACUGUACAGAAGUGAGAAUGCCGGAAUAAGUAGCGAGAAUUAAGUGAGAAUCUUAAUGGCCGAAAGUCUAAGGUUUUUGGAGGAAGGUUCGUCCGCUCCAAGUAAGUCGGGAGCUAAGGUCAGGCCGAAAGGCGUAGCCGAUGCACAUACGGUUGAUAUUCCGUAACCAUCUGUAAUUUAAGCAAAGGGACACUUCAAAAGGGUGUGACCCGGGCGUUGGUUGACCCGGGCGUAAGGGACCGAAAUUAGAGUAGGGAAGCACACUUAGCUGAAGGCGAGAAAAGCUUUGCGUAUAGAAGCAGAUGCCCGUACCGCAAACCGACACAGGUGGACAGGAAGAGAAUUCUAAGGCCAGCGGGAGAAGGGUAGUUAAGGAACUCGGCAAAUUGACUCCGUAACUUCGGAAUAAGGAGUGCUCGAAAGAGCCGCAGAGAAUAGGCCCAGGCGACUGUUUAGCAAAAACACAGGUCUCUGCCAAAUCGAAAGAUGAAGUAUAGGGGCUGACACCUGCCCGGUGCCGGAAGGUUAAGAGGAGGAGUGAGAGCUCCGAAUUGAAGCCCCGGUAAACGGCGGCCGUAACUAUAACGGUCCUAAGGUAGCGAAAUUCCUUGUCGGGUAAGUUCCG